UAGAACUUAGUUAAUAAAAUUGUUUCUUACUCGUGCUAGUCACAGUUCAAGGGCUUGAGGGCCAGUGACAAAUCGCUAGGGACUUCUAUACUGGGCGAGCAGAUUUCAAACAUUCUCAUCACUGCAGAACAUUUUAUCAGACUGUUGCACAGCGGCUAUAGAAAGUCCUGAUCAAAAAAGGCCAGAAGGCAGAGGCAAGACCCCCGGAGGAUACUGAGGACGGGUGAGGCGGCCAACCCAAAAGCCAAGGGAGAUGGAGGAGGCAGGGACUCGGGCACUGGGACAUGUAAGUUGUCCACCUGUGAUUGAGAGGUUACUGGAUAUGUCCCAAGAGGUCACACUGUUCAUAAAAACUAGUAAUAUUUGAGAAUUCAUUACACAAACUAGUCAAUAAAAGUUAUGGUCUCACAAUAGGCUCUGGAUUUUUUUGAGAUUUCAUUGUUUGCCUUAAAGAUCUUCAAUACUACUUGAUGCCUGAAAACACGAAAUGAGCUGACCAUAACACUACAGCUGAGUCUGGGGGUUGUGCAGUGAGAACAAAACUUGUACCUAAAUGAACUCGGAGAGAAUGUGAAAUACUCAUCAUGGGAGAACAAGUUGUAACGAUGCAAAAUCUCUCCGCAAAAGGCAUGUGGUGAUCUCUCAAUGUGUCCCCUUAUGCUUAUGUGGCAACCCUAGUGUCACUCAAAAUGAGGGUACUUCAAAAAAUUUGUGGAAAGUUUCAUACAAAAAUUUCUGAAAUCCACAUGUUUUCCUUAUACAUAUUUUCCAUAACUUUGUGAUGAUCCCUGUAUUCACGAACAGUUCACUUUAAGAAACAACAAAAACUCAGGUAACUGAAAGUUCCUGAGAGAAAAUAAUUACAUCUUCACACAAAGUCUUUACAACAUUAUAUUUCAUAAAAGACAAUGAUAAAAAAGUACAAACAUCUCCAUGAGAAGCAAAACAAAAAAAUGAGAGUACAAGAAAUUACUAGCAUUUAUUUCAGUGCAUUUAUGUAGAAGCCUCUCAUUUAAUAAAUAAAAUCUUAAGUACACUUCUUUCUGAAACGCUAUGACCACUGUCGUUAUCUCAAUUGGCAUAUUUGCAAAUCCAAGGCAAUAAAUCUAGAGUACUACUUAUUGGAAAAGUACACAAAGAAACUGACAGACAAGCAAAGGUCAAAUAAAGUGACACAAAUCCGCUUUCACUUGUAGGAAGCCUCCAAAAGGAGACACUGUAUUGGAUAUUUUCCCAUUUUGUACUAAAAUGAGUAUCUUGACUGGGAAAGAUGGUUUUAAUACAGUUUUGUGUUUAUAUAAUAAGGUGAAUAUUUCUUACUAACCACCUCUUUAUAAAAUGCAAACUUAGUUAUCAUUAAGUUCUAGAAUUAAAUCCAAAGUCCCAAAUGACUACCACCACUGUGAACUAGAUACACCUUACAGCUGAUGUGUGCACUUCUCCCCUUUUUUCUAACAGACCCACCAAUCAUCAUUUCACUAGCUGAAAGGCACUAAAUAAUCUUGUUCCUAAUACCACAGGGACCUAAUAGCUCCAAGUCAACAAAUAAUGGUUUCUUGACUUUGACACGGAGAAAUUUAUCAAGUUAUCAGAGGAUGUCUUCAUAAUUGCAGAAGGGCUUUACUUGCUUGACUUUGAGAAAUGAAGUUAUAUUUUCCAAUAGUCAUACCUAGCACUGUACCUGACAGAGGAGAUGAUCAAUACAUCAUCAUAAAUAAACCCAGCAAGCGUACCAUAAUGAUGGUUUGCACUUAUAAUGCAAAUGCAUUUGUUAAUCUUUAUGGGAUAGAUUUAUUGUCAUACAAUGAAGAUAACUGGGUAAAGCUCUGUCACUCUUAUGGAAACACAUAAAGGUCACUGUUCAUAAGCAAAAAUUUCAAGUUUGCACUUAAAAAGCAAAAAUAAAAACCACACUGGCGAGGUGGUUUUCACAGGAUGAUACUCUAUUUGAAACUGAGAAAAGAAACAAUAUUGAUGUCCCGUUCUUAAAAAUUAGUCAGAUUUUCCCCCCAACAAGUAGAUACUCCUAGUGCUGAGUUCUCCUAAAACUGUAAAAUGUAUAUUAAAAUGAAAACAAUACCAUAAGUGGACAGCUCCAUAUGAAAUGAGAGAACUUACUCCCUAACACAAUUCAGAAAGAAUCCUGAUUUCCCCACCAUUGAAAUCUUAAGUUUUAUUGGGCUAAUGAUGCUCCACUCUCCCUACUCUGUUGUUAGUGGCCCACAAAUGUUAACAUUCCUGAUUUUUUCCAUCCAAUUAAAGAACUACAUUGGUGAUGAGACAGAAAAUGAACAAAUUAAAUGCAAAUAACUUCAUUUUCAAAAAGUUUGAUUUUUUUCAUUACUUCAACUUUGAAAAUUUUUGAAGUAUUUCUAAUAAGUAUGGAAAAAUUCUGUUUGGUACAUUAACAGAGAAGCUAUCGGUUUUCUCAAAGUAUAGGAAUUUCAAUUAUUUUAUUUGGUUUGUGGUCGUUUUUAUUAACAGAAUUACCAUAGAAAAUAAAUUAAGCCUAGAACAUGAGAUAAAUAACCAUAUUUCUGUGAAAUGUCCAUGAGGCAAAUGUUAUCCAAACAUCUUAGAUUUCUAUGAUUCAUUAUUGCUGAAGAGUCACCUCAGACAAAUUUUAAUUGUGUGACAUCUUAAUACUUCUGAUAACUAUACUUGAUAUCAAGUAGUAAGACUUGUUUUCAGAUGUGUUAUAUUAAUGUGUUUAACUAAUGUAUUUAAAAGUGAAAAAAUAUAUAAUUUGAAUGAAACUGACUGUGAAAGGGUCCCUUCCAAAAGUGAAAUUCUGUAAAUCGAUAAACUUAAAAUGUUUUAUUACUAGGCAUUUGUCAUAAAAAUAUAACAUUUAAUUUCUUAUCUAAUAGAAUAUUUGUAUAUUAUACGUACUAUUGGGUUUUCCCUAGCUUAUUCUUUUGAAAGAAAAAUAUUUUGGCUCUCCUGAACUGAAAAUCAUGAAAAUGUUGUUCACUAUGAAUUGUUAAAAAAAAAAAAGUAUAUAAACAUAUGACCUUGGG